GGCUUUAUUGUCUUUUAUAUCGGCACUUGAUGGUUUGGCAACUUCCACAUGCUCUUGACAGCACUUCAUUCAUAGUGUGUAUUUGCAUUUUCAAAAGUUUUUUUUUUUUUUUUAAUGGAGGAAAACUCCUGUUUAUAAAAAUACCAGUGUAUUGUAGACUAGGCCUCAGAUGUGUGUUCUGUGUAAUAAAGUCACUCAAGGGAAAAAUGAUCCUUCAAAUGAGAUGACGUGUUUUAUAAACUGAUGUGACAUGUUUUUCUGUCAUUCUUGAUCAGAGAGAGUUCAGGAGGAGUAUGAUGAUGUGAUGAGUGUCAGUGAAGAUGUGAGAAACCUGUUGGAUUAUGAUGAUGUGGAGGAGGAGUCAAACAAAGAAGUGGGGCAUUCGGCUCAGUGAACAUCCACUGCCUCGGUUCGACAAAUCUGAACAAAGUUUGAGUGAUAUUGUUAUUGAUAUGUUAAAACUCCGGUUUUUUAAACCCCCACCCCCAUCCCUUUUUGUAUUAAAACUUUUAAGCCUUA